GGCCAUUUACAAACACAUGGUUCGUUGCCAAGGUAAUUUAUCGUCAUGGUUACACCUACAUUUUACAUGACAACGAUAAAAGUAAAUCAAAAUYGGUCGACAGCAGUUAUUUCAGUAAAGCGAAGACUUCAUUCUUAACUGUCCUCAGGAACCAUUAAGAAUCCAGGGAGAAGAUGGGGUUACAAUUGAAGAUUAUCAUUCUAUUCUGUAUUGUCUGGACUUCGUAUCAUGCAGCUAAUGCAAGGCCGAACAGGUCUUUUCUCAGAGAAGCAGACCAAGGCAGGCCUUUGCAUUUUCACAAUCCAAUUCCAUUCAAAAGACAAGAACCUACUACCGCUCCACCAACGACGCCGUUUGACGGCGUCAUCCCAUUCAAAAGGGUAGUGAAUGAGAAAAAAAGUGGAUGGUUGGGAAACCUGAUUCCAUUUAAAAGAGAAGAUCCUUCAUCCGUCGUUCCAUUCAAAAGACGAUAAGCUGGAAUAGCAUAAGUUAUCAAGGAAAAGUAGCUKUUUAGUCAGUUAUUCAAUUUCGUCACUUGGUGCAUAAUAAAUAGCAUUAAAAUAUGAA